rnacentral:sRNA from 1 species
CGGCAAUUCAUGAAUGUGACACUUCUCGGCCAUUUCUGUGUUUUGGCAGAGCAGACAUCAUCCUAGAGGACAGGAAAUAUCUGAUUUCUGGAUUAUCUAGAACCUUUCCCAGGCCAUCUCAUCUGGCGCAGGACUGCAGCUGAAUAUGUAAAAUCUCGACUCCCAGAGGCCCUUAAACAGCAUCUUCAGGACUACGAGAAAGACAAAGAAAAUAGUGUAUUGUCUUACCAGACCAUCCUUGAACAGCAGAUUUUGUCAAUUGACCGAGAAAUGCUAGAAAAAUUGACUGUAUCCUAUGAUGAAGCAGUGCUUUUCAGCAUAUGAUUGAACGUACUCAAGAAGGGUCAUGGUUAGUUCAGCAAGCUGAUUUCAACAUUUGGUGAUUGUCUCCAGUUAAUGAGCUAUACAUAUGAUGUCCGCUUUUAUUUUCAUCAUCAUAAACCACAGAAAAAAGGGGAAACAGUAUACCAGCAAGUCAGCAAGUCCAAAUCAAGCCAUGACUCAGAUUUCCUAAGGAAGAAAAGAUCAGACUCUGCUUUGACAUAUUCUAUCUUAAAUUUUGAAAUUACUUUGGGGACAACAUUAAUUAUCCAGGCACAACGUGUUUGAUUGCUCUGCUAUCAGAUAAAGACCUCACGGUGGCCAACGUGGGUGACUCGCGUGGGGUCCUGUGUGACAAAGAUGGGAACGCUAUUCCUUUGUCUCAUGAUCACAAGCCUUACCAGUUGAAGGAAAGAAAGAGGAUAAAGAGAGCAGGUGGUUUCAUCAGUUUCAAUGGCUCCUGGAGGGUCCAGGGAAUCCUGGCCAUGUCUCGGUCCCUGGGGGAUUAUCCGCUGAAAAAUCUCAACGUGGUCAUCCCAGACCCAGACAUCCUGACCUUUGACCUGGACAAGCUUCAGCCCGAGUUCAUGAUCUUGGCAUCAGAUGGUCUCUGGGAUGCUUUCAGCAAUGAAGAAGCAGUUCGAUUCAUCAAGGAGCGCUUGGAUGAACCUCACUUUGGGGCCAAGAGCAUAGUUUUACAGUCAUUUUACAGAGGCUGCCCUGACAAUAUAACAGUCAUGGUGGUGAAGUUCAGAAAUAGCAGCAAAACAGAAGAGCAGUGAACCCUUCAGGGGUCUCAGCUGCCUUAGACUAAAGGACUUUCAACACACUGGUCUCUUUUAAUUUAGUGAAAAGUGUGGGAGUUGUAAUUAGGAUCAUCCAUCCCAGACAUGGAAUUCCCCCUCCCUGGUGGUCUUAGGUCUAUAAUCAGUGACGAACAGAGGGUGCCCUUGGCCAAUGUAGUUAAGAAACUGGAAAAUGGUUUCUUCAUGUUUUCCCAACUCUUUCAUCCAGUGUCCAAAAUAUAUAAGUAAAUAGCUGUAGGGUCACGUAUAUGAAGUGAAUAGCAUACGUGUCAUUUAGUCUCCCUGAAGAUUCUUUUCAAGAUCCUGUUCAGGGUCCUCCAGGCAUCAGCUGUUGUGUCCUCUCUUUGGAACAGUGGACAGGACAGACCACCCAGUGCUGCAGGAGACAGGCCACUGCGUCACCUGUGAGUGGUCAGGGGCUGAUGUGGCAACACCCUCUGCCAAGAGACAGAGCUGUCCUAAGAAUGCUUUGUCCUUCUGAGCCCAUGUUUUCUGCUCAGUAGCAGCUUGGAAGCAGAUUUGGAAUGGUUUAUUAUUUUGGCUGCUCUUGGGGACUGCGAGAAGCAGAGAGAAUGGGAGACCAGUGGCAACUGCCUGCACAGCAGAAAUAACCCUUUUCCCUUGCUUCCUUUAAUAGUUAAAUAGACUUUGUAUACCACCUGA